GAUAAGUCUAAAUUUGGAACACCACAAGAAUGUAAAUUCUUGAUAAGUUCACUAGUUCUCAAAAGAACCAAAGAAAGAAUAAUCUUUCAAAUUCAAAAUAACAUUCAUCUCCUUAUAUACCAAGGUUGCUGAAUUUAAAUAGGCUAAAAGGAACCCAAGAUCCUAAAAAUACAAAUGGAAACAUUGGAACAACCCUCCAAGUAGGUUUGUCAAAAGAUGUUUCAAAAGUCUUCACCAACCCACCAUGAUCAAUGCUAUCUUUGACAAACUUAAUGCUAGCCUACUAUAAUUAAUGCUAUCAUUGACAAACUUGAAACAAAACAAACAAAUAAGUUGAAAAACAAAAGAUUCGUUGAAAAUCCCAAGUCUGAACACGCUGUAAAGAAUUGGUCAUAACUCCUUCUAGAGAACUCCAAAUCCAGCUCUGUAAAAUUUAUUGGAAAGCUAACUUAAUUAUCUUUCCAACGGUAUAUAGCUUGCAUUUUAAUUCUGGGUCAAUCAAUACAGUUUUUAUUCCGAAUUUGACCUUUCUGCAUUUGAUACAAAUUGUGUAUUUGGCUACCCAAUAACUUGAAUAAUGCCCACAAUGCCUUGUCUUCUCUUCAAGCCCAAUUCAUGAUGUCUUGCAUCUUGAAUUGCAUUUUCAAUCCAUAUUUUCUCAAUUAAUCCAUUUAAAGCAGCUUGCAUCUUUUUG
rnacentral:lncRNA from 1 species